rnacentral:snRNA from 1 species
AUACUUACCUUGUGCCGGGGCCUUGUUGAUCAUCGAGUACUAGCUCCCAGAACGAGGCACGGGCAUUGCACUCAGCUAGCGUUGAAUCCUGCCACUACUCCAAACAAGGGCCGAUGGGGCAUGCAAGUUGCUUAAAUUCGGUUCAACGCAAGAGAGGGAGCCACCGCC